rnacentral:rRNA from 1 species
UUGAGAUUUAAGAGAAUCUACCUCAUUUUAUUUGAAAAAAUUAGAGUGUUUAAAGCAGGCUAUCUAACCCUGAAUAUAUUAGCAUGGGAUAAUAAAAAUGGUUUUGGACAAUUUUACAUGGUUUCUUGUUCAAAACACAUGAUUAAUAGGGACAGUUUGGGUCAUCUGUAUUGUAACGUCAGAGGUGAAAUUCUAGGAUUGUUACAAGACAAACUAAGGCGAAAGCAUUUGACAAGGAUGUUUUCAUUAAUCAAGAACGAAAGUUGGGGGAUCGAAGAUGAUCAGAUACCGUCGUAGUCCCAACCAUAAACUAUGUCGACCAAAAGGUAGUAAAUGUUACAUGGAUGACUUUACUAUCAUUCUGUGAGAAAUCACAAGUAUUCGGACUCCGGGGGGAGUAUGGUCGCAAGGCUGAAACUUAAAGGAAUUGACGGAAGGGCACCACCAGGAGUGGAACCUGCGGUUUAAUUCGACUCAACGCGGGAAAACUUACCAGGUCCAGACACAGUAAGGAUUGACAGAUUGAUAGCUCUUUCUUGAUUUUGUGGAAAGUGGUGCAUGGCCGUUUUUAGUUGGUGGAUUGAUUUGUCUGGUUAAUUCCGUUAACGAACGAGACCUUAACCUACUAAAUAUGUUACAUGAAAUCUUUAGCCUUAGGGUUAAUAUUUCAUAUUAAACUUCUUAGAGGGACUCUUCACACAUAGUGAAGGGAAGAUUGAGGCAACAACAGGUCUGUGAUGCCCUUCGAUGUUCUGGGAUACACGCGGGUUACAAUGAAACAGACAUCGAGUAAAACCUACCCUGAAGGGGUUAGGUAAUCUUUUGAAAAUGGAACCGUGAUAGGGAUAGAUCAUUGUAAUUAUUGAUCUUAAACGAGGAAUUCCUAGUAAAUGUAGGUCAUCAACCUGCGUUGAUUGCGUCCCUGCCCUUUGUACACACCGCCCGUCGCUCCUACCGAUCGAAUGGUCCGGUGAGGACUUAAGAUGAUUAGAUGAUUGAUGGGCGUAAGCCAGUCAAACUCUGAUCAGAAUUUGUUCAAACCUUAUCAUUUAGAGGAAGGAGAAGUCGUAACAAGGUUUCCCUA